CGGGUGAGUAACGCGUGGGUAACCUACCUUAUACAGGGGGAUAACAGUCAGAAGUGGCUGCUAAUACCGCAUAAGCGCACAGAGCUGCAUGGCUCAGUGUGAAAAACUCCGGUGGUAUAAGAUGGACCCGCGUUGGAUUAGCUGGUUGGUGGGGUAACGGCCCACCAAGGCGACGAUCCAUAGCCGGCCUGAGAGGGUGAACGGCCACAUUGGGACUGAGACACGGCCCAG
rnacentral:rRNA from 1 species